rnacentral:rRNA from 1 species
CAGUCGAACGAAGCGAUUUGACGGAAGUUUUCGGAUGGAAGUUAAAUUGACUGAGUGGCGGACGGGUGAGUAACGCGUGGGUAACCUGCCUCACACUGGGGGACAACAGUUAGAAAUGACUGCUAAUACCGCAUAAGCGCACAGGACCGCAUGGUCCGGUGUGAAAAACUCCGGUGGUGUGAGAUGGACCCGCGUUUGAUUAGCUAGUUGGUGGGGUAACGGCCUACCAAGGCGACGAUCAAUAGCCGACCUGAGAGGGUGACCGGCCACAUUGGGACUGAGACACGGCCCAAACUCCUACGGGAGGCAGCAGUGGGGAAUAUUGCACAAUGGGGGAAACCCUGAUGCAGCGACGCCGCGUGAGUGAAGAAGUAUUUCGGUAUGUAAAGCUCUAUCAGCAGGGAAGAAAAUGACGGUACCUGACUAAGAAGCCCCGGCUAACUACGUGCCAGCAGCCGCGGUAAUACGUAGGGGGCAAGCGUUAUCCGGAUUUACUGGGUGUAAAGGGAGCGUAGACGGUAAAGCAAGUCUGAAGUGAAAGCCCGGGGCUCAACCCCGGGACUGCUUUGGAAACUGUUUAACUAGAGUGCUGGAGAGGUAAGCGGAAUUCCUAGUGUAGCGGUGAAAUGCGUAGAUAUUAGGAGGAACACCAGUGGCGAAGGCGGCUUACUGGACAGUAACUGACGUUGAGGCUCGAAAGCGUGGGGAGCAAACAGGAUUAGAUACCCUGGUAGUCCACGCCGUANACGAUGAAUACUAGGUGUUGGGGGNCAAAGUCC